rnacentral:rRNA from 1 species
UACGAAGGGGGCUAGCGUUGCUCGGAAUCACUGGGCGUAAAGCGCACGUAGGCGGAUUGUUAAGUCAGGGGUGAAAUCCUGGAGCUCAACUCCAGAACUGCCUUUGAUACUGGCGAUCUUGAGUUCGGGAGAGGUGAGUGGAACUGCGAGUGUAGAGGUGAAAUUCGUAGAUAUUCGCAAGAACACCAGUGGCGAAGGCGGCUCACUGGCCCGAUACUGACGCUGAGGUGCGAAAGCGUGGGAGCAAACAGGG